AUGAUAUAUCUUCUUCUAUUAUCUAAAAUACAAGCUAUAUGAAUAUCCCUCCUAGAAAUCGAAAUGCUCCUUCUACCGCCUUUGGCCAACGACAAUCACGCCAGAUGAUCAUUUCACGGCUUACUGAAACCCUAAAUUCCAAACACAAAAUCUCUCUAUGUAAGCACAAUCUUCACUCUACGCCACAUCCCGACCCCGCUCUCUCAAAAUCCCAUUCCAAUGGAACCCUUUCGUGUCGCAGAUGGCGUCCACGAUCUCCUACAACCUCACGAUCCAAUGGCUCAGGAACCGCUGCAUCUCCCGCACCGCUAUAUCAACAUCGAGCACCAUGUCCAACCAUAGAAGCAGCAUCAUUAAGGACUCAUUCAUUAGCUUCUCGCGAUCAUUGCCAUGGAGGGUGUCUACAGUCCCCUCUUGAUAGAUGAGGUGCUCUAGCUGCGCGGCUUCCAAUUCGAUAAUGGCGAUUUCCUUGACAAGGGCGCAAAUCGCGUGGGAGCGGUUGGAAGACUAUCAUCGACAUCUUAGUGGGGAUUUCAGUGAUGCGGGGGUCAGACUGAUGGGUGAUUGGGUCAUUUUGGCAACCAUAGGUGGAGGUGGUUGAGAAGGUUUGAAGAAACCACCACACUUGUAAAGUGAGAGGGAUCUCCACUUGAUACGGAGAGGUUGUAACUUGGCCUAUAAAGAAGUUGGAAAGGAAAAUCAUCAUAGCGGUUGCUUGGGGCAAGGACGUAGGCUGCUGGCCAAACCUUGUAAAAAAUACGGUCUUCAAUUCGUCUCCCUACUCUCUUUAAUUUUCUACAAACAUAUAACUUGCGUGUAUGAUUAUUUAACACUUGCUAAAUAUUUAGAGUUGCUAAAGUUUCUUACUUUGAUCCAUAUUUGAAAUCAACAUACUAUAUUGAUUGAUUGAUUAAAAAAAUCAGAUUAUCAAAUUUUGA